rnacentral:rRNA from 1 species
AUUGAACGCUGGCGGCAGGCUUAACACAUGCAAGUCGAGCGGAGAUGAGGUGCUUGCACCUUAUCUUAGCGGCGGACGGGUGAGUAAUGCUUAGGAAUCUGCCUAUUAGCGGGGGACAACAUUCCGAAAGGAAUGCUAAUACCGCAUACGUCCUACGGGAGAAAGCAGGGGAUCUUCGGACCUUGCGCUAAUAGAUGAGCCUAAGCCGGAUUAGCUAGUUGGUGGGGUAAAGGCCUACCAAGGCGACGAUCUGUAGCGGGUCUGAGAGGAUGAUCCGCCACACUGGGACUGAGACACGGCCCAGACUCCUACGGGAGGCAGCAGUGGGGAAUAUUGGACAAUGGGGGGAACCCUGAUACAGCCAGGCCGCGUGUGUGAAGAAGGCCUUAUGGUUGUAAAGCACUUUAAGCGAGGAGGAGGCUACUGAGACUAAUACUCUUGGAUAGUGGACGUUACUCACAGAAUAAGCACCGGCUAACUCCGUGCCAGCCGCCGCAGUAA